GAUGAACGCUGGCGGCGUGCCUAAUACAUGCAAGUCGAGCGAACAGACGAGGAGCUUGCUCCUCUGACGUUAGCGGCGGACGGGUGAGUAACACGUGGAUAACCUACCUAUAAGACUGGGAUAACUUCGGGAAACCGGAGCUAAUACCGGAUAAUAUAUUGAACCGCAUGGUUCAAUAGUGAAAGACGGUUUUGCUGUCACUUAUAGAUGGAUCCGCGCCGCAUUAGCUAGUUGGUAAGGUAACGGCUUACCAAGGCAACGAUGCGUAGCCGACCUGAGAGGGUGAUAGGCCACACUGGAACUGAGACACGGUCCAGACUCCUACGGGAGGCAGCAGUAGGGAAUCUGCCGCAAUGGGCGAGAGCCUGACGGAGCAACGCGGCGUGAGUGAUGAAGGUCUUCGGAUCGUAAAACUCUGUUAUUAGGGAAGAACAAAUGUGUAAGUAACUAUGCACGUCUUGACGGUACCGAAUCAGAAAGCCACGGCUAACUACGUG
rnacentral:rRNA from 1 species